AUGUAUACAUGCGUUGACUUGGAUUUAGCUACGCAUUGGAGAUCGCUCAAAAAAAAAACCUAUGCAUUGGAGGAGGGCGAGCCGCAAGUGAGGGAGCUGCCAGCGUUUUUGAACAAUGUGUGGAAUCCCUUCAUUAGGUUGUACAGAUCGUGUGAUACUACUAAUCAAAGAGUACAAUUUGAUAUUGAGCCAUGUGGCAAGCAUCUUGCCACUGGUGGGCAGGACGGCAUGGUCCAUAUUUAUGACCUUCAAGGUGGCCAAUGGGUGACAGGCUUCCAAGCAGCUGCUGAUACUGUCAACGGUUUCUCCUUCCUCUUGCUACAACAUCGUCUGGGCACAGAAGAUUUGGUAUGCAAGAUGAAUUCGAAGAGGAAUCGAGUUUGGCAGGUGAUGAGAAUUGCUGCUCUGUCUGGAAGUUUUCUUGCUCACAAGAAUCUUGAAACAACAUUAAACCCUAAGCUGUGGUGGGACAGGUGA
rnacentral:rRNA from 1 species